rfam:Ictidomys tridecemlineatus contig111613, whole genome shotgun sequence.
AGUGUUGUGACUCAUUGGUAGAGUGCUCCCCUACCACGGGUGAGGCCCUAGGUUCAAUCCUCAACACCA